UCGUGUCUGACUCUUUGCAACCCCAUACACACCAGGAUUUCCUGUCCUUCGCUACCAUCCGGAGUUUGCUCAAACUCAUGUCCAUUGAGUUGGUGAUGACAUCCAACCAUCUCAUCCUCUGUCAUCCCCUUCUCCUCCUGCCCUCAAUCUUUCCCAGCGUCAGGGUCUUUUC